AGCACAUUUUCAGCUGACAAGUUCAGAUAUGGCAUUGUCAGCUGUACCCCGGGUAAAAUGAAAGACCACUUUGUCGCUGGAGGUUGUUGUUAUGGCGUUAAAAGAAAAGCCUAUUCAAUCCAUUAUUGAGUGUGAAAAUGCGAUUAUAGCGACCGGCGCUCUCACAGUAAUGGUAUAUAGAGAAGUCGACAUAUAUACCGAAUGGAACAACGAGAUAGAAUAAGGGAAAACAUUUCCCCCCUACAGGCUACUGGAAAAAUGACAGACCACUUUGUCGCUAGAGGGUAUUGUUAUGGCGUUAAAAGAAAAGCCUGUUCAAUCGAAUAUUGAGUAUGAAAUUGCGAUUACCUAUAGCGACCGGUGCUCUCACAGUAAUGGAAGGAAAAAGUACGUGUUCUACGAGGUAACAAACAAGUAAUACAGUAAUAUGCUCCAUUAUAUUCAUGGAUAUAGUCUUCAUAUAUCCAGGUAAAUCUUAACCUUUCCUCCAAAGCAGACUUGAGCAAGGUAGUGUUCACUGACGAAUUGAAAGCAGAGUCACGUUUGAUAGAACCGAUGGAUAUGGUAUGGAUAAAAAGAUUAGGAACUUAGGCAUUAGAUAUAGAGUAGCGCCAAUUCUUGGAGGUGGCAUCAGAUCAAACCUUUAUCGAAACCUGGGCGCCAAUAGAUAGGGGAGGUAUCAUGUUGUGGAUUGGCAUUCAUGGCGAUAGGCUUAUUGGGCCCUAUAAAGUUGAUGAUGGGGUUUAGUUGACCAUGCAGUCAAAAAAAACAUGUAGUAUGAGUCUCAAAAUUGUUCUUCAAAGACCAAUUGUAUAUUUAUGCAUCAUAAUGCCCCUCACAUGCCGCUAAUGCGACUCGCCAAAACGAAUUUCUGGCAAAAAGUUGAUGCCGUGGCGUCUAGCUGCGAGCCCUGAUUUAAUUCGCGAUAGAUAACCUCACGCCAAUCGUGAAUAAAAGACGAUUUAUGUUGGUGGUAGGCAGCCCGACAGUAAAGUAGAUCUUUGGAAUGCUAUUCAAACAGCUUGUAAAGAUGUAAAAUCCAAAGAAAUUGAAAGAAUCAGAAGAGUGAGAAGAAAGGCGGAUAUAUUGGAGUACAUAUAAUUAGUACCUGUUAUAAUAUUUAACAUAAUACUGUAAAUGCAUGCAUUUGAAUAAUAUACCAGU
rnacentral:lncRNA from 1 species